UAAGCGGAGGAAAAGAAACCAACAGGGAUUGCCUCAGUAACGGCGAGUGAAGCGGCAAAAGCUCAAAUUUUAAAGCUGGCACCUUCGGUGUCCGCGUUGUAAUUUUGUGAGGCAUCUCCGGGCAGGGCGCCGGCCUAAGUUCCUUGGAACAGGACGUCACAGAGGGUGAGAAUCCCGUGCUUGGCUGGCUGUCCCCGUCCACGUGAGGUGUCUUCGACGAGUCGAGUUGUUUGGGAAUGCAGCUCAAAAUGGGUGGUAAAUUUCAUCUAAAGCUAAAUAUUGGUGGGAGACCGAUAGCGCACAAGUAGAGUGAUCGAAAGAUGAAAAGCACUUUGAAAAUAGAGUUAAAAAGUACGUGAAAUUGUUGAAAGGGAAGCGCUUGAGACCAGACUUCGGUAGGGGGUGAUCAGCCGUCCUUCUGGGCGGUGCACUUGCCCCCCUCCGGGCCAGCAUCGGUUGGGGCGGCGGGAUAAAGGUCCCGGGAACGUGGCUCCUCUCGGGGAGUGUUAUAGCCCGGGUGAAUGCCGCCAGCCUCGACCGAGGACCGCGCCCGCAAGGGUCAGGAUGCUUGGCAUAAUGGUCUUCAGCGACCCGUCUUGA
rnacentral:rRNA from 1 species